AGUAGCUUGCUACUUUGCUGACGAGCGGCGGACGGGUGAGUAAUGCUUGGGAACAUGCCUUGAGGUGGGGGACAACAGUUGGAAACGACUGCUAAUACCGCAUAAUGUCUACGGACCAAAGGGGGCUUCGGCUCUCGCCUUUAGAUUGGCCCAAGUGGGAUUAGCUAGUUGGUGAGGUAAUGGCUCACCAAGGCGACGAUCCCUAGCUGGUUUGAGAGGAUGAUCAGCCACACUGGGACUGAGACACGGCCCAGACUCCUACGGGAGGCAGCAGUGGGGAAUAUUGCACAAUGGGCGCAAGCCUGAUGCAGCCAUGCCGCGUGUGUGAAGAAGGCCUUCGGGUUGUAAAGCACUUUCAGUCAGGAGGAAAGGUUAGUAGUUAAUACCUGCUAGCUGUGACGUUACUGACAGAAGAAGCACCGGCUAACUCCGUGCCAGCAGCCGCGGUAAUACGGAGGGUGCGAGCGUUAAUCGGAAUUACUGGGCGUAAAGCGUACGCAGGCGGUUUGUUAAGCGAGAUGUGAAAGCCCUGGGCUCAACCUGGGAACUGCAUUUCGAACUGGCAAACUAGAGUGUGAUAGAGGGUGGUAGAAUUUCAGGUGUAGCGGUGAAAUGCGUAGAGAUCUGAAGGAAUACCGAUGGCGAAGGCAGCCACCUGGGUCAACACUGACGCUCAUGUACGAAAGCGUGGGGAGCAAACGGGAUUAGAUACCCCGGUAGU
rnacentral:rRNA from 1 species